GAUCUCCACUGAUCUAGAGAGAAACAAACUCUUCCGAUCCGCCGCAACCUUACAGAUUCGAGCAUACAACUUCACAGAUCCGAUCACUCACGCGCCGCAUACAACUUCACAAAUCUGAUCAGUCACGCGCCGCAACCUGUUGAUGCAACGUUCGAGCUGCCCAGCUAACCUGCAAGCACAUCAAAGAAACACAAAUACAAUUCGAGAACAACGAAUAACAGCUCAGAUUCGAGGAAAAAUGAAGAACUUAUCGCCGG
rnacentral:misc_RNA from 1 species